CUUUAGUAUCACCUGUUACAUGUCUUAAUUGACUGCACGUAAACAAUUUACUCCUUACGGAUACGAAAGAAAACAGGAAAUAGCCUAUAUAACGUACUUUAAAAGGCUAUAACGCCAUAAUGACAAUUAACUCGCUUGCCAUGAAUGAUGAUUAAUUAAUGAAUACCGGUACAGAUAAAGAUUGUGAAUCACAUUCCGGUCGGGCCUUUCAUUUGUACAAAGGUCAGGUCAAAUUGAAGGCUGACAGUCUUGAGUAUACUAUUAGAUAAUAUGACUUUAUGAAACGAAAAACAUCUCGACAAAUCAAACGCAAUAUAUCGAUCUAGUUAACUGUGUCAGUUUUGUUAUUUAGCGUUACACUCAGCCAGCUGUUAUUGACUCAAUAUCAAAAGUCAAAGGGUCUAUUAUUGUUGUUGUUUUAUUGACGAUGCGAGGCCUGUGAAUUUGAUGCUUUAGUGAUAGUAGCCUAAUAUUUGGGGUACCGGUAACUAAAAAAGAUGGAGUUAACAGCUACAGAUUCGUCUGCCAGUAAUGGUAGGAUAACAAUAGCACAGGCGAAUGGCAAUGUUGGAGAAGUAAGAGCAUCCCGGACAAAUCGCUGUAUACAUUGGGUUAACGAUCAUCUACAUUUUUUACCUGUAUUCACCGUUAUCUUCUUUAUACUAUCACUCUUCUUAUCGUAUGGUGUAGCUGUAAGUUACAAACAUGUGGAACCAAACUUCCCCUACAUCAGCUAUACAGCAAUAUAUCCACCAGAACGUGGACUAUUUUCACAGCUUAUCAACAUGGCUUCAGUUAUGAUGGCGUUGAAUGUUUUUAUCAAGUUUCUGAUAACCCUGGAUGUGAUACGAAGACGAACAGAAAGUGUGGGAAAUCGAUCCGGUGUUAAUAAACUAAAUAUAGUGACUCUCAUCUGUGGUCUUCUGUCAGCCUUCGGU